UUGGAGAUGAUCUUACAGUUCUCGAUUUCUGCGUGUUCAUUUCUCUCGCUUGAAUCGCCAUUCUCGAGCUGGCUCAUUUUGAUUCAAGAACCCUACGGAAUCAAUCUCCGUUGAAGGAAGCCUGAUACACACUGUCAACCACUCGUUCCACCGUGAAAUCAGUGACGAAUGCCUCGGUCUCUAUGAAGAACAAUUCCACUUCACUGGAGAUCUUCUUCUAAAAUUCAACAAAAUUGGAUGCCAAAACUGACCAGAUAUGCCACGGCAGCGUCGUAAUAUUCGCAGCUUUUUAGCUCUCAUUUUGGUCCCUCACACUAGCUAGAUCUUAGCGAGGAAUUAACGAAAUUGAUUUAUAUCUAUUCAAUUCAGGAUCAUCAACAAAAAUUCAGACAACUAUCUUACUUUAUUUCUGAUGUCAAUGCCGCAUUCUGGUAAAGUUGUUUCGAAUCGGGUCUUAUACCUGAAAUCCGUAUAGAAGCUCGUCUUCAUUAACCUUCCUUGUUGGAAAGGAAAACAAGUUAAAUCAAUUAUGUGACUAAUUUGAUCUUUUGGAUGGAUUUCAAUUGUAUAUAUUAAAGUAGCUUUGCGCUCACCAUAGUCAGCUGAGAUACUAUUUCGGAUUCUUCUACGUCAACUCCAAUUUCAAAUUUCAUAUGAA